rnacentral:misc_RNA from 2 species
AAGUCGUAACAAGGUUUCCGUAGGUGAACCUGCGGAAGGAUCAUUAACGAGUUAGGGUCUUCUAGGCCCGACCUCCCAACCCUAUGUUUAUUGAACCUCUGUUGCUUCGGCGGACCCGCCUCACGGCCGCCGGAGGACCGCUGCAAGGCGUCCUCUGGCCAGCGUCCGCCGAUGGCCAACCACUUAAACUCUGAAUGAAUCGUGUCAUAUGUCUAAGUCUAUGAUUAAAUUAAAGCAAAACUUUCAACAACGGAUCUCUUGGUUCUG